UACGGAGGGGGCUAGCGUUGUUCGGAAUUACUGGGCGUAAAGCGCACGCAGGCGGCUUCAAACGUCGGAUGUGAAAUCCCGUGGCUCAACCAUGGACGUGCAUUCGAAACUGCGAAGCUUGAGUAUGGAAGAGGGUCGCGGAAUUUCCGGUGUAGCGGUGAAAUGCGUAGAUAUCGGAAGGAACAUCAGUGGCGAAAGCGACUUCCUGGACCAAUACUGACGCUCAUGUGCGAAAGCGUGGGGAGCAAACAGG
rnacentral:rRNA from 1 species